CUGUCUAUGUGUGUGUGUGUGUGCUUUUGUGUAUUUACACAUACAUAUUUAUAUACUAUGGCUGCUUAUUAACUAAGUUAGUAGCUAACGGUUAAUACAUUAACAGCACACAUACUGAUGCAGACACACAUUGUGUGUGUGUGUGUGUGCAAGUCAUUUUAAUUGCAUCACAUGCAAUCAACACAAUAGGGUGUGAUUGUUUGAUCGUUGUUGGCAAAUUGUUCGGCACAACUUUCUAUGUACGAAAGGUUUUCCCCAUGUUGGGUGGGGCCAUGGGGCUAGGUAGUCAAAUGCUGAAGUAUUUUGUAGUCGUGUCUACUCAAGCCAAAGAGAUUUUUAGCGAAUUUGAAUACUCUAAUAUA